UCCGUAGGUGAACCUGCGGAAGGAUCAUUAUUGAAUUUAAUGAGGGGAUAUUUGGUUGUAGCUGGCUCAUGAAUUUGGGCAUGUGCACACCUAUCUCUUUCAUCCACACACACCUGUGCACUUGUGAGGCAGAUGGGGAAUUUAUUGAUUGUUUUUUAAGAACAAUUGGUGCUGGACCCUCUGUCUACUCAAUACAUAAACUCAAUUUAUUUAGAAAUGAAUGUAAUGGAUGUAACGCAUCUAAUACUAAGUUUCAACAACGGAUCUCUUGGCUCUCGCAUCGAUGAAGAACGCAGCGAAAUGCGAUAAGUAAUGUGAAUUGCAGAAUUCAGUGAAUCAUCGAAUCUUUGAACGCACCUUGCGCUCCUUGGUAUUCCUUGGAGCAUGCCUGUUUGAGUAUCAUGAAAUCUUCAAAGUAAAUCUUUUGUUAACUCAAUUGGUUCUACUUUGGUAUUGGAGGUCUUUGCAGCUUCACACCUGCUCCUCUUUGUUCAUUAGCUGGAUCUCAGUGUUAUGCUUGGUUCCACUCAGCGUGAUAAGUUAUCUAUCGCUGAGGACACUGUAACAGGUGGCCAAGGGAAAUGCAGAUGAACCGCUUCUAGUAGUCCAUUGACUUGGACAAUAUUUUUAUGAUCUGAUCUCAAAUCAGGUAGGACUACCCGCUGAACUUAAGCAUAUCAAUAAGCGGAGGA
rnacentral:rRNA from 1 species